rnacentral:lncRNA from 1 species
UCAGGAUCAAAUUUCUCUUGCAAUCAGGCUUGAUCAUAUCAAACCCAAUCUAAGUCAAACUAAAUCUAAUUCAAUGAAACUUGAUCCAAAGCUCUUUACUCAAUCAAAUUGAGUUAAUUAGCAAUCUAAUUACUAAUUAAUUUUUUAUUAAUAGUAGAAUCUCAGUCCAGUGGGACUCUCCUCCAGAGUUUCAUUUCCAAUGGGACUCUUCAUCCGAGUCACAAUCCAAUUGGACUCUUCAGCCAUCAGAUCUAUCCGAAUCUUCUAAUAUGUAUGACUCCAUAGGUUCGAACCUAAAUCGAUAGCAUAAGAAUAACUUUUUAUACUAAUCGAUGUAACCAUCUAGCAAUGGAACUCGAUGUCCGGAUAGGUCGAAAGAUUGCAAAGUAACAUUCUAGAACCUACUAGUGUAUGGUUAUCGUAUAAUUCAUCUCCUUGACCCUAAUGCUCAAGAUGAUCUAGGGUUGACUGUCAAUCCUAGUUUAGUCGAUCACAUUAUAUUUCAACCUUUCAAAUCCAUCACAUGGAUUAUCUUGACUAAGAUUUUAUGAAAUUAAAAUAUACUGAUGCAUACCUCCUACUAAUUCAGAGGUGUCAAUUCUAUCUUGACUCACAUACCGACUUGAUAAGUACUUGACUGCACCUAGUAACCUUUUGUCACUGAAUUAGCAACUUAGAUGGUCCGAUAUUAAAGUACAGUGAGUUACUUACAAGUCAUCGUGGUGGUCUCAGAUCUGAAGGACACUUAUACCCAUAUCCUUCAUAAGCUACUCUUGACAGCAAAGUGCUCGAUCAACGAUCAUGUUCGAUGCGAACGUACACCUACAUUCUACCUGC